rnacentral:rRNA from 1 species
AUUGAACGCUGGCGGCAGGCCUAACACAUGCAAGUCGAGCGAGCGGCGGACGGGUGAGAAAUGUAUGGGGACUGCCCGAUAGAGGGGGAUAACUACUGGAAAAGGUAGCGAAUAUCGCAUACAAUCGGAUAACCCAGAUGGGAUUAGCUCGUAGGUGGGGUAAUGACUCACCUAGGCGACGAUCCCUAGCUGGUCUGAGAGGAUGAGCAGCCACACUGGGACUGAGACACGGCCCAGACUCCUACGGAGGCAGCAGUGGGGAAUAUUGCACAAUGGGCGCAAGCCUGAUGCAGCCAUGCCGCGUGUAUGAAGAAGGCCCUAGGGUUGUAAAGUACUUUCAGUCGGGAGGCGUUACCGACAGAAGAAGCACCGGCUAACUCCGUGCCAGCAGCCGCGGUAAUAC